GAUGAACGCUGGCGGCGUGCCUAAUACAUGCAAGUCGAGCGAACAGACGAGGAGCUUGCUCCUCUGACGUUAGCGGCGGACGGGUGAGUAACACGUGGAUAACCUACCUAUAAGACUGGGAUAACUUCGGGAAACCGGAGCUAAUACCGGAUAAUAUAUUGAACCGCAUGGUUCAAUAGUGAAAGACGGUUUUGCUGUCACUUAUAGAUGGAUCCGCGCCGCAUUAGCUAGUUGGUAAGGUAACGGCUUACCAAGGCAACGAUGCGUAGCCGACCUGAGAGGGUGAUCGGCCACACGGGAACUGAGACACGGUCCAGACUCCUACGGGAGGCAGCAGUAGGGAAUCUUCCGCAAUGGGCGAAAGCCUGACGGAGCAACGCCGCGUGAGUGAUGAAGGUCUUCGGAUCGGAAAACUCUGUUAUUAGGGAAGAACAAAUGUGUAAGUAACUAUGCACGUCUUGACGGUACCUAAUCAGAAAGCCACGGCUAACUACGUG
rnacentral:rRNA from 1 species